UAAUUGAAGAGUUUGAUCAUGGCUCAGAUUGAACGCUGGCGGCAGGCCUAACACAUGCAAGUCGGGCGGUAACAGGGAGAAGCUUGCUUCUCCGCUGACGAGCGGCGGACGGGUGAGUAAUGUAUGGGGAUCUGCCUGAUGGCGGGGGAUAACUACUGGAAACGGUAGCUAAUACCGCAUAAUGUCUUCGGACCAAAGCGGGGG
rnacentral:rRNA from 1 species